AGAUGUGAUUUGGGUGCAAAAUCCUUCAGAGAAGCUUUUGGAAACGUGAAAUACGAAACCGAGUUUUGAAUUUUGCGAUAAAUUUCAAAUUUUGUCGAGUUUGUUCCGGUAACUUUGAUGUAAAACAUGUUCCGCGGUGUACAAGCCCAAUUGUCGAAAAUGUCGGUAAAAUUAUGCAAGUCGUUGAGUCUGACCGAUUCCCUGGAAGCCAAAGAUUUCGUUAUAACAUUUGAAACCAUUUGAAAAAGGCUGAUUACACAAAAAAAGCUCGAUGUAUGGAAGUCAGAUGAGUUAAUGAGAGAAAACCUCUAGGACCGAAUUCCGAACUGUAAAUCGCAUGGAUGGUGCCUGGUGAUGACAAGUGGAUCAUUUACCUCAAACAAAGGCGGCCGUGGUUCAAGGGCAGUGAGGAGGCACAAACGAAUUUUAAGCCAGAAUUGACGGUCUUUCUGACCGUGUUUGGUGGAAUUGGGAUGUUUUACACUGACAGUUAAAGUGAAAAUGGAGGAAUCCUUGUGCAGAUGGUAAUUCUAAGAACUGCCUUUUACAUUCUAAAAUAUUUGGAAAGCAUUUAUUUCGUCUUAUCAAAUUGAAUGCUGCCUAAAAGUAUGCAAUAGAAAGAAUUUACGUAGGUGUACGAAGCAGAGAAUCUGUAACAAUAAUCAUUAUUAUAAGUUCUCUCACGAAGUAAACAAAUUAUA